AUGAACGCUAGCGGUGUGCCUGAGAUAUGCAAGUCGAGCGUCUUUUCGACCGCAAGGUUGAAAGGUAGCGGCGGACGGCUGAGUAACGCGUAGGAACCUACCCCCAGGUAGAGGAUAGCCCGCCGAAAGGUGGGGUAAUACUCUAUGGUCCGUACCUAGUACGGUAAAGAGCAUAACUGCUCGCCAAGGGAUGGGCCUGCGUCCUAUCAGGUAGUUGGUGGGGUAAAAGCCUACCAAGCCUACGACGGGUAGCUGAUCUGAGAGGAUGGUCAGCCAGAGGAGCACUGAGACACGGGCUCCACUCCUACGGGAGGCAGCAAUCAGGAAUAGUCGGCAAUGGGCGAAAGCCUGACCGCGCGACACCGCGUGUAGGAAGAAGCUUUUCGGAGUGUAAACUACUGUGGUAGAGGAAGAAGUCCGCCUUUGGCGGAUUGACGGUACUCUACUAGAAAGGGGCCGCUAACUGCGUGCCAGAAGCGUCGGUAAGACGUGGGCCCCAAGCGUUAUCCGGUAUUAUUGGGCGUAAAGGGUCGUGUAGGCGGUUUGGUCAGUCCUAGUUUAAAGACUGCAGCUCAACUGCGGGAAAGGUUAGGAUACUACCAAGACUAGAAUUUUCUUUAGGGAGACUAGAACUUUUGGAGGAGCAGUGAAAUGCGUUGAUACCAAAAGGAAUACCAGUGGCGAAGGCGAGUCUCUGGAAGGAAAUUGACGCUGAGACACGAAAGCUAGGGGAGCGAAGCAGAUUAGAGACCUGCGUAGUCCUAGCCCUAAAUGCAUGCCUGCUAGCUGCAUUAUCUACCCUUUGGUGGAUGGUGUGGCGAAGGUAACCCGUUAAGCAGGCCGCCUGGGGAGUACGGUCGCAAGGCUGAAACUCAAAGGAAUUGGCGGGGAGGCACACAACCAGUGGAACAUGUGGUUCAAUUCGAAACAAACCGAAGAACCUCGCCAGGGUUUGACAUCCAAGCGUUCUAGUUCUAGGAAACUAGGAUGAUCCGCAAGGAGGCUUGGACAGGUGUUGCAUGGCUGUCGUCAGCUCGUUCCGUGAGGAGUGCCCUUAAGUGGGACAACGAGCGCAACCCCCAUCUGCUGUUAUAUAUGUCAGCAGAGACUAUCUCGACUUUGUCGAGGAGGAAGGAGGGGCAGAUGUCAAGUCAGCAUGGCCCUUAUACCCUGGGCUACACACAUGUUACAAUGGACAGAAACAAAGGGCCGCGCCACCUGGCAACAGGAAGCGAAUCCCAGAAACCUGUCCUCAGUGGGGAUUGGGGUCUGCAACUCGACCCCAUGAACGCGGAAUUGGUAGUAAUCGCGGAUCAGUCAUGCCGCGGUGAAUACGUUCUUGCCUCUUGCACACACCGCCCGUCAAGCCAACAAAGUCGGUAGAAUUUGAAGUCGCACUUAGUGCGGCGAGGAUUCACUCGGCGAUGGGGGUU
rnacentral:rRNA from 1 species